GAUGAACGCUGGCGGCGUGCCUAAUACAUGCAAGUCGAGCGAACGGACGAGAAGCUUGCUUCUCUGAUGUUAGCGGCGGACGGGUGAGUAACACGUGGAUAACCUACCUAUAAGACUGGGAUAACUUCGGGAAACCGGAGCUAAUACCGGAUAAUAUUUUGAACCGCAUGGUUCAAAAGUGAAAGACGGCCUUGCUGUCACUUAUAGAUGGAUCCGCGCUGCAUUAGCUAGUUGGUAAGGUAACGGCUUACCAAGGCAACGAUGCAUAGCCGACCUGAGAGGGUGAUCGGCCACACUGGAACUGAGACACGGUCCAGACUCCUACGGGAGGCAGCAGUAGGGAAUCUUCCGCAAUGGGCGAAAGCCUGACGGAGCAACGCCGCGUGAGUGAUGAAGGUCUUCGGAUCGUAAAACUCUGUUAUUAGGGAAGAACAUAUGUGUAAGUAACUGUGCACAUCUUGACGGUACCUAAUCAGAAAGCCACGGCUAACUACGUGCCAGCAGCCGCGGUAAUACGUAGGUGGCAAGCGUUAUCCGGAAUUAUUGGGCGUAAAGCGCGCGUAGGCGGUUUUUUAGGUCUGAUGUGAAAGCCCACGGCUCAACCGUGGAGGGUCAUUGGAAACUGGAAAACUUGAGUGCAGAAGAGGAAAGUGGAAUUCCAUGUGUAGCGGUGAAAUGCGCAGAGAUAUGGAGGAACACCAGUGGCGAAGGCGACUUUCUGGUCUGUAACUGACGCUGAUGUGCGAAAGCGUGGGGAUCAAACAGGAUUAGAUACCCUGGUAGUCCACGCCGUAAACGAUGAGUGCUAAGUGUUAGGGGGUUUCCGCCCCUUAGUGCUGCAGCUAACGCAUUAAGCACUCCGCCUGGGGAGUACGACCGCAAGGUUGAAACUCAAAGGAAUUGACGGGGACCCGCACAAGCGGUGGAGCAUGUGGUUUAAUUCGAAGCAACGCGAAGAACCUUACCAAAUCUUGACAUCCUUUGACAACUCUAGAGAUAGAGCCUUCCCCUUCGGGGGACAAAGUGACAGGUGGUGCAUGGUUGUCGUCAGCUCGUGUCGUGAGAUGUUGGGUUAAGUCCCGCAACGAGUGCAACCCUUAAGCUUAGUUGCCAUCAUUAAGUUGGGCACUCUAAGUUGACUGCCGGUGACAAACCGGAGGAAGGUGGGGAUGACGUCAAAUCACCAUGCCCCUUAUGAUUUGGGCUACACACGUGCUACAAUGGACAAUACAAAGGGCAGCGAAACCGCGAGGUCAAGCAAAUCCCAUAAAGUUGUUCUCAGUUCGGAUUGUAGUCUGCAACUCGACUACAUGAAGCUGGAAUCGCUAGUAAUCGUAGAUCAGCAUGCUACGGUGAAUACGUUCCCGGGUCU
rnacentral:rRNA from 1 species